GUAAGCGGAUGGGCUCGGCCUCAAGGACAGGGUGCUCGGCUGAAAAAAAAGCUAGCGGCGAUCACCGGUGCCAGGGCUCUCCAGAAACGGAGCCCAUCUAACCAAUGCCCAGCACACUCGCUCUGCUCCACACACGAGACCACCUCCGACCCGCACUAAGUUGGCCAACUGCACUCUGGAGGCGGCGGCAGCCAGCGAGGGAGAAGGGAAAGGCUGUCCCGGGACCCCGAGGAGGACUGCCCCGCCCCCGGGAACCGGGUGCGGCGUAAAACAACCCCGGCUCCGGGCCGACCCUUCCUGGCCCCUUGGAGGCCCAGGCGGGGCGGCGGGGGGCGACGCGGCAGGGGUCUCCGCGCCCAGGCUCCCGCGGAGCGGCCACACGUGGAGGUUCCCACUUUGGGGUCGCGGCCGCAGCAGCACCGGGCGGGAUGCUGUCCGCGCUGCCCGCGUACGGCCGCGGCCUGAGUGGAGACGCCUGCCCCCAGCCCCGAGGCCUCGGCCCCCGUCCGCCCUCUCUCCCUGCUCGGCGGCCUCGUACUCACGCUGACUUCAUGGCAGCAGGCUCCACGCCGCCCAAACGCGCAUGCGGGACGGCUGGCUGGCGAAGACUGCGGGACGUUAGGACCGGCAGCAAGAACUAGAACUUCGCGGCUAAGGCGCGGUGCUCUGCGAAGCCGGCGGCGACGCUAAGAGCCCAGGUGAGCUCCCGCCUGGCGCAUUUCAAACGGGCCAAUCAGCGCCCGUCCGCAGGGAGAGGCAGGACCUCCGCGGAAGUGACUUCGCUGCCGGAAGUGGCGCUUGUCUCCUAGGCGACCGACGCUGAAAGGGCCGCGGAGUCGCGUGUCAGGGCUGGAGGGAGAUCUUGAGGUCCUCCCAGUGACUGACCUGGCUCAUUCUCCGAAAGUGGUUGACAGGCCACUACGAGAGCUCUUGAGAGAAGCUUUGUGACAUGAAAUUCAUCAAAUGAAGCAAGAUUCAUUUUUAAAGAAUAAUACAAAGCUCCAGAGUAAUAUGCUUAAUCCAAAUGUUUAAAUAGAAUUUAAAACCACAUUUUAAGUAAAUUUAAAAUUAAUGAAAUAUCAAUAGUUUGCCUUAACAAGGACUUGCUUGAACCAUAUUCUCCUUUUAAAAUCACACACACAGAAUCAGUGUACAUUUAGAGAAAUUUCCCCAGCUGAAUAACAUUUUUGACAUGAAUUCAUUCAAAAGACACCAACCAUUAUGAAUAUUUUAGGCCAUGAUAAGCUGUAACCACCUCCGGCUUAUGGUGGUUAGGAUGUUGCAGCUUAAUGUUGACAUCUGGCAUGAAAAGCUUAUGGUCUGAGUCAUGUUUCUUUUUUAUGUAAUUCUGGCUUGGGAAUCCGAUACAGAGCAGCUGAGAAAUAAAUUAUGUUGCUGAGGCUGAAGAUGAUGCACAGAAGUAUGGCUCCAGCUAUCUGAGAGAAAGAGAAGGGCUUGGAGGUGGCCAGGAGCCAUUCCUUCCUCAGAGUCUUGUCCAGAAGUAUGGCUUCCAUCUGCAUGUGCGUGGCCAGGAUCACACACACGUGAAACAGCUGGUGACUGUGACCUAUGGCAAACACAAAAGGCCGUCAAGAUCAGCAAUGAAAAGGAAUGAGUACUGAUACAUGCUAUGGCAUUCAUGCUAAAAAUGAUGCUAAGUGAAAGAAACCAGACAGGAGACCACAUAUUAUAUAAAAUCUCCAGAAUAUGCAAAUCCAUAAAGACAGAGAGUAGAUUAGAGGCUGCCUCAAGCAGGGGGUGAGAAUAGGUAUUAACAGUGCAUGGGUCUGAUGGAGGGGAUGAAAAUGUUCUAAAACUGAUGUAUGGUGAAUUUACUGAAAAUAUCAUUAAAUUGUAUACUUGACAUUAGAGAAUUAUUGAAUAUGUGAAAUAUACCUUAAUAAAUUUAUUUUUAAGAAGCAAUAUGGGAAAAAUAAAAGGCCCAUCAGAGAAAACCAAAUCCAAAUUCUUUUUUAAAACAACUUAUCCACCAGUCUCAUUUUUCAGAUGAAAAAAUUAGGCACCAAAGUUCAUCUCUUGAGAGCCAGCACUGAUCAGCUCAGAGUCUCACUUCAGUGCUGAGGGAGAAGCUGGCUGAAUUUUCUGUUGGCCACUAACCAAGUGGACCUCUCCCUACUGCCAGUUAGUCACAGAUAUGACCAGGACUCUUCCUCCCCAAUGCCAUGCUGGACCCAGCUCACAUGGUGCCCUUCACAGAGGCUGGGAGCCCAGUAGAGGGUAGUGGGAGUGACAGGGACAGGGACGUGCUGGGUGGUUGGUGAGAAAACAAAUCCAAUGCCUAGGGUCGGGGGCAGCUUUGGGGGACAACCCUCAGACCCCAGGAGUAAGGAGGCGACCACAUGUGUUAUGGGCUGAAUGAUGUCCCUGAAAAAUACAUGUGCUGAAGUCUUAAGCCCCAGAAUGAGACCAUAUUUGCAGAUAGGAUCUUUAGAGAAAUAAUUAAAUAAAAAUGAAGUCUCUAAGAUGGGCCUAAUCCACUAUGACUGGUGUCCUUAUAAGGAAAGGAGUUUAGGCCAGGCGCGGUGGUUCACGCCUGUAAUCCCAGCACUUUGGGAGGCUGAGGCGGGUGGAUCACGAGGUCAGGAGAUAGAGACCAUUUUGGCUAACAUGAUGAAACCCCGUCUCUACUAAAAAUACAAAAAUUAGCCGGGCAUGGUGACACGUGCCUGUAAUCCCAGCUACUCUGGAGGCUGAGGCAGGAGAAUGGCGUGAACUCGGGAGGCAGAGCUUGCAGCGAGCCAAGAUCAUGCCACUGCACUCCAGCCUAGGCGACAGAGCGAGACUCCGUCUCAAAAAAAAAAAAAAGAAAGAAAAGGAGAUUAGGACACAGACAUGCACGUAUACAAGAAAAAGAUCAUGUGAAGACAGUUGGAAAGAACGGCCAUCGACAAGCCAAAGAGAGAGGCCUCCGGAGAAGCCUACUUGCCAACGCUUUGAUCUCAGAUUUCCAGCCUCCAGAAUUGUGAGAAAAUAAAUUUCAGUUGUUUAGGCCACAACAGUCUGUGAUACUUUGUUAUGGCAGCCCUAGCAAACUAAUGCAGCAUAAGAGUUAAAUAAGGUUUCUCUUUUGGUUUAAAAAAAAUAAAAUAAAAAGGCUGGGCAUGGUGGCUCACACCUGUAAUCCCAGCACUUUGGGAGGCCAAGGCAGGAGGAGUGCUUGAACCCAGGAGUUUUGAGACCAGCCUGGGCAACACAGUGAGAUCCCAUCUCUAGAAAAAUAAAAAAUUCAGUGUUUCACCCCCAGGACCUAUCUCAGAAGAAAUAUUCAAUAAAUGUGUCCUAGGAAUGAACCGGCCUGGCCACCUCUACUAUUGAGCAGGAGCAGAGUUAGGAAGAUUGAGCAGGAGCAGAGAGGGAUUCCCACCUCCAGCAGACUCUGUUAGUUAAGGACUGAGAAUGUUCCAAAUCUUGUUAAUGAUCUGUCAUGAACUAUUUUCUAGGAAAUGUCCCCCAGAGGGGUGUUUUUCAGCUCUGUACCCCUAGGCCCAAGAGGAUGGGACAGAGGUGAAUAAAAUGUUAUUAAGAAACCUGAGUGGUAGCAAAAGAAGGCCCAGGGCCAUUUUUCCUGCAACCCCAAAACUUGCUACACAGCCACCUCUACUUCAUUAAGCGGGGCUGGGGAGGUGGACAUGGCAGUCAGGAUGCUGGUGACUCCGAUUCCCUGGCCUCUCCUUUUCCUCCUUUUUGGAAAUCUGUUCUCUAAGCAUUUUACUAGUUACAACCCCUUCUGACACAACAAAAGAAGAAAAGGAGAUAAAACUUUAAUCAGAUCAAACAAACUGCAUCUGGCCACAUCUUUUAGUGAGAGGAGAUGGAAAAUCAGGAACAAAAUGGGCUUGGGGAGAAGCAAGCUUCCUGCCCUGGUGGGGACAAUGACUGGCCCUUUGAUUCCCAUGUACUCACCUAAGGAACUCUCACCCCAAAGUCUUGUCAGCCUCACCAGAAAUGAUGCAAGGGUUCCUCCUCCUAGCCAGUCCCAGAGCCAGAGCGGAGGAGGCACAUUCUGCAGGGACCCGCCCCUCCUUCCCUAGACAGAGCGGGGAAAGAACUCUGCCAGCAGGUGGAAACCCCCGUGACUCUGACACCUUCUCUCCACCAGAUCACUUCAAACUUAAGUGAGCUCAGGUUCAUCUGGAGGAUGACUCGGCCUCUGUGUGAGUAUUGGGUUUCACUCCUGGCGUUUCUGGUUCAGGAGGUCUGUGGUGGGGCCUGAGAAUCUGCAUGUUCUCAGAUGAUGCUGAUGCUGCUGGCUGAUGACCACCCCUGGAGAAACCACUGCUCUACCCUGAACCCCUGGCCCCCUCCCGUCCACCAUGCUCAAGACAAAGAAAGAUGCUUUCUCCCCUUUUCCCUUUUCUGCACAGCCCCCUGUUGUCUGGUACCCUCAGAGCCAUCUUCAUCCUUUCUUUCCUCUUCCUCUCCUCGGCUGCUCCCAAUGUACUUUUUCUCUUCACAUAGGAUCUCUCUCACCCAGGCUAGAGUGCAGUGCAUGAUCAUGGCUCACUGUAGCCUCAACCUUCCAGGCUCAAACCAACGCCUCCCAAGUAGCUGGGACCACAGGUGCACGCCACCAUGCCCAGCUAAUUUUUGUAUUUUUUGUAGAAAUGGAGUUUCACUAUGUUGCUCAGGAUUGUCUUGAGCACAGUCUCAAGUAAUCUGCCCACCUUGGCCUCCCAACGUGCUGGGAUUACAUGUGUGAGCCACCACGCCCAGCCCCAAUGUUCACUUAAUCAUGGGAUUCCAUGUUCUGGAUGACAAUAAGACACACUGGCUCCAUACCCCAUCAGAAUGCUUUAGGCUCCUGGGCCCACCUGCCCUCCAUCCUGCCCAUGCUACCUAACAAUGCACCUGCUGCAGACAUCCUGACCUCUGUCAACUUGCAAUGUUACUCGCCUUGGCCUCUCUCUCUGCCCUUCCCUGCCCUUUGCAGCUACGUGCACUGGAGUCAGGGACAGGACCCUCCCCAGUCAGGAGGGCAAUGAGCAGAGCAGCAGGGCUGUUGCCCACUCACCGAUGUAGUCAAAGCGUCCAGGGGCUAGGCGUUCUGGCAGAUGUGCAGAGUACAAGAAAGAGGCCAGGAGGGUCAUGAUCAUGUGCUUCUGGUGGUACGAGGUGGCUUCAUUUUGUGCACUCUCCCCUGGGAACAGGAAUAGCUGCAGGUGUUUAAAGAAACAUCAGGUCUUGAGAGGACAGGCCUGAGGCAGGCCCUCUUCCUUCUCAGCACCUGCAUCUGGGACUUUGGGGGCUCUGACACCCACACAUGUUAGCACACAUACACAAACUCCAGAGGCCAAGGCCCUCACCUCCUCAGGUCUGUGACCUGGUAGAGGAAACUCAGGCACCAUGUGAGCAGAGCUCCUAUCCUGAGUGUGGUCGAUUGAGACUCGAGACUAUUGUAUUUCAAUCCCCCAAAUACUCAUGAGAGUCUUUUGGUUUAUUUACUUAACUGAAUCGGAGAGAAAAAGGAAAGAAGAAAGGAAUGGGAAAGGAAAAGAAAGACAAAAAAUCCUAUUAGAUAAUUGGUAUUCUUUCUGGGGUAAAAUGUAAGUACAGUUGACUCUUAACAUGCAGGCUAGGGGCAUUGACCCCCUGCAGUCAAAAGUCCAUGUACAACUUUUGACUCCCCCAAACUUAAUUACUAAUAGCCUCCUGUUGACUGGAAGCCUUACCUGUAACAAACUGCCAAGUAACACAUAUUUUGUGUAGGUAUUAUAUAUUGUAUUCUUACAAUAAAGUAAGCUAGAGAAAAGCAAGUGAUAUUGAGAAAAUCCUGAGGAGGAGGAAGAAGAAAAGGGGUCGGUCUUGCUGUCUCAUGAGUGGCAGAGGUGGAAGAAAAUCCAUGUAAAGUUCCAACCCAUGUUUAAGGGUCAACUGUUUAGUGGAUUCACACUGGAACUCACUUUUUAUCAGCACAUCCACUGAACUGGUGCUCCUAAUUAAGGCUUUAAGGCCUAGAAAUCCCUGGAAGGCCUUCUGAGUCAUCCAAAAGUAUCAAUGAUGGCCACUAUACUGUUUCAGAGCUAAGUAUAGUUUUUGUAUUAUUGUUAUAAAGUCAUAGUAGCCACCACUUACCGAGGGCAGCAGGCCAGGCCUCUUACAUGCAUCAUUUCACCUGAGCCACAAUUAUCAUAAGGCAGACUCUAUCUUCCCCAUUUUGCAGGUGAGGAAGGUGGGCCAGAGAGUGACUUGCACAUCACUUAGUGAGAAGUGAAGUCAGGAUCUGAAUCCAGGCAGGCUGAUUCCAGCAUCAACAUCACCACUUAGAACUGGACCUCCCCUUCCCUCUGCCCUCCUCUGACUCAGCCACAUGCCAGAAGCACACGAUGCUUGUCACAACACAGGACUUGCACUGCCUGAUUUGGAGGUACAUGGGACAGAAUUGCUCUGUCUGCUCUUGGUUUCCUGUGUGUGGUCUGCGCCCUUGAGGAAGGAGUGAGGGGAACGGGCUGCAGCCCCAUCUUUGGCGCUCUCCCAGACCCACAGAGGCAGAGCACAGAGAACGUGCUCAAUGCCCCAGCUGCUGGGUGGAGCUCAGCCCCUCCCCUUGUCCCUCAGCCCUGCCAUCUGGGCUUUAUUCUUCAAGCCCACAGGACGCUGCCUCUAGGAGGGAGCUUCACUCACCGGGUACUGGACAGGCACCGCAGAGCCUAUCAGAUCCAUUGUUUUCCCCUACAAAGGAGGCCUAGUACCCUUAUGUACAGAUGAGGAAACUAAUCUGAGGCUUAGAGAGUUGUGUGUCCUGCCUGAGGUCACAUAGCCAGUGAGCAGUGGGGCCAGAAUUUGAACUCAAGCCCGUAUGGUUUGAAAGUGCGUGGACUUUCCCCUUCUAGUCCUACUUGUUGUCCCUCCUACACUCUCUUCCUUUAUGCUCUCCAUCUCUUUCCCAUCGCUCCUUUAAGACCCUCAUUCAUGCCUUUUCCUUCAAUACUAACAGUAUACUACUUGAUGAUGGAACAAUGCAUUCCCGAACUCUUGCUACCAGUCAGCACUUGACAUGUUCCCCGUGUAAUCCUCCCCACAGCCCAUGAGGUGUUAUCAGGCCCAGCUUACAGAUGAAGGAAAUCGAGGCAUAGAGAACUGGCCCAGGGACUGACAGCAAGUAUUGGAGACCUGCCUGCAGAGCUCGCUCUCCUGCUCACUCCACUCAGCCCCAGGCUGCCUGUUCUAUGACGUUCCCGAGCCCCCAGUCAUAUUGUCAGUCAGGGCCUCUGUGCUUAUGUCAUCUCCUAACCACUCCUCAAGUGCCACCAAGGCAGCACCUGGGUGUGGGGGAAAGAAAGAUAUAUCAGACUGUUACUGUGUCUAUGUAGAAAAAGGAAGACAUAAGAAACUCCAUUUUGAUCUGUACUAAGAAAAAUCUUCUUAUUUAUUUUCUCAGUCUCUCGUCCCACCUGACGAGAAAUACCCACAGGUGUGGAGGGGCUGGCCCCCUUCACCUGGGUCUCGACUCCUGUUUUGUUCUGCGGUUCCCAUUGCAGUGCUGUGACCCCCCAGAAGCUCAGGAAAACAACUGACUUCCUGGUGUUGCCAACAGGCAGAGAGGAGAUGCAGCCAGUCCUUACCCUGUAGAAGAUGGGGAGGGAGUCCCAGGUGUACGGAUAAGCAAAGGCGAGGACACGAAUCACCUUACAGAGUCUGGGCUUCUGGAUUUCAAGAAACCUAAAUCAGGGAAGGAAAGUGGGGAGGAAAUGGAAUGAAAAGAGUCUCAGCAAAUUGCAUACGCACAUGCAUGCACACCGAGGGCCUGGUCAUCAACAGAGGACAAGCAUUUUUCUACAAGCUCCUGUGGCCAGCAGCUUCUCCACCAGCCUCGUCCAUUCCUCCCACCCCAAUGGAAGUGACAAAACUUCAGAUGCAAAAAGAUCUCCAGGGACACCAUCUCCUGACCAUGGGAAGCAGUGGUGUCCAGACUAAGCCAGAAAGGAGGCGCUGGGCAGAAACCCUUCAAGGGCCAAGUUAUGUAACUGCCAAAGAACCUUUUAAAACUCUAGUUGCUACAGGGACAGGGAACGGGUAGGGGGAAUCGGGGGAUCCACUGCCACAGACUCUUGGGGGGCACACUCUGCAGAGGCUGAGAUGCACCCAUCUAGUUGGAGCCCAGGUAUUAUCAUGCAGGAGACCUGGGUUCAAGUAGGUGUUUGACCCUUGGAGAGCUUUCUGGAAUAUUUAUACCACACACAGGGAUACUUGGCUUGGGAAAACUAAAUAAACGUGAAGUCUUUCCUUCUCUUCUUCAUUGCCACCCUCACCCAACCUCCAAUCCAAAGACAGCUGACAGCAACAUUAAAACAAGUGAUGCUGAUUGUUGAGAAGAGAGGCAGGUCCCCCCAGACAGAACAUGACAGGGCCUCAGCUGACUUGGGCCCAGCCUGGGGCAGCAGCUCAGGGUAUGGGGAACUGGGUAGCACAGACAGCAGGCUGCACACUGGGAGGACAUGGGGAGGGGCAGG
rnacentral:lncRNA from 1 species